AACGAACGCUGGCGGCAGGCCUAACACAUGCAAGUCGAGCGCCCAGCAAUGGGAGCGGCGGACGGGUGAGUAACGCGUGGGAAUUUUUCCUGGAGUACGGAACAACCGAGGGAAACUUCGGCUAAUACCGUAUGAUGCCGAGAGGCCAAAGAUUUAUCGCUCUGGGGUGAGCCCGCGUCAGAUUAGGUAGUUGGUGGGGUAAAGGCCUACCAAGCCUGCGAUCUGUAGCUGGUCUGAGAGGACGAUCAGCCACACUGGGACUGAGACACGGCCCAGACUCCUACGGGAGGCAGCAGUGGGGAAUCUUGCGCAAUGGGCGAAAGCCUGAUCCAGCCAUGCCGCGUGAGUGAUGAAGGCCUUAGGGUUGUAAAGCUCUUUCAGCGGGGAAGAUAAUGACGGUACCCGCAGAAGAAGCCCCGGCUAACUUCGUGCCAGCCGCCGCAGUAAC
rnacentral:rRNA from 1 species